rnacentral:siRNA from 1 species
UUGGCUGGGGCGGCACAUC